rnacentral:rRNA from 1 species
UACGAGUGGUGCAAACGUUAUUCGGAAUUACUGGGCUUAAAGGGUGCGUAGGCUGCCAUGAAGGUCUGAUGUGAAAUACCACGGCUCAACCGUGGAACGGCGUUGGAAACCACAUGGCUGGAGUGAGACAGAGGUGAGCGGAACUGAUGGUGGAGCGGUGAAAUGCGUUGAUAUCAUCAGGAACACCGGUGGCGAAAGCGGCUCACUGGGUCUUUACUGACGCUGAUGCACGAAAGCCAGGGGAGCAAACGGG